CAAAAACAUGGUUUUUUGUUUAUAUAAAAAAUCUGGCCUGCUCAGUGAAUUUUAAAUAGCUGCAGUAUUUUGACUGUACAAAGGUAGCAUAAUCACUUGUCUUUUAAUUGAGGUCUGGAAUGAAUGGUUUGAUGAAAAAUAUACUUUAUUUAUUUUUAAUAAAAAAUUUAAUUUUUGAGUUAAAAAGCUUUGAAAUUUUUUUAUAGGACGAGAAGACCCUAUAGAACUUUAUUUGUAUAUUUUUAUAUUUUUUCUAGAUUAUAUAUUUUUAAUAAAAAUAUAUAAAUUUUGUUGGGGUGACAAAAAAAAUAAAAUAACUUUUUUUUAUUUUUACAUUUAUUUAUGUAUGUUUGAUCCUUUACUUUGGAAAAAAGAAUAAGUUACCUUAGGGAUAACAGCGUUAUUAUUUUGGAGAGUUCAUAUCGAUGAAAUAGUUUGCGACCUCGAUGUUGGAUUAAAAUAAGAUAUAGAAGUAGAAUGUUAUAUUCUUGGUCUGUUCGACCUUUAAAUUUUUACAUGAUCU
rnacentral:rRNA from 1 species